rnacentral:rRNA from 1 species
GAUGAACGCUGGCGGCGUGCCUAAUACAUGCAAGUCGAGCGAACAGACGAGGAGCUUGCUCCUCUGACGUUAGCGGCGGACGGGUGAGUAACACGUGGAUAACCUACCUAUAAGACUGGGAUAACUUCGGGAAACCGGAGCUAAUACCGGAUAAUAUAUUGAACCGCAUGGUUCAAUAGUGAAAGACGGUUUUGCUGUCACUUAUAGAUGGAUCCGCGCCGCAUUAGCUAGUUGGUAAGGUAACGGCUUACCAAGGCAACGAUGCGUAGCCGACCUGAGAGGGUGAUCGGCCACCCUGGAACUGGAACACGGUCCAGACUCCUACGGGAGGCAGCAGUAGGGAAUCUUCCGCAAUGGGCGAAAGCUUGACGGAGCAACGCCGCGUGAGUGAUGAAGGUCUUCGGAUCGUAAAGCUCUGUUAUUAGGGAAGAACAAAUGUGUAAGUAACUAUGCACGUCUUGACGGUACCUAAUCAGAAAGCCACGGCUAACUACGUG